UCGUCGUAUGCAGCCAGCAGCCUGAAGUUGGCAGUACAUCUACUGCAGGUGUAUGGGAUGUGGACAGAGGCUACUAUAAAUAUAUAAAUAUAUAAAUACUCACUCGUCGUAUGCAGCCAGCAGCCUGAAGUUGGCAGUACAUCUACUGCAGGUGUAUGGGAUGUGGACAGAGGCUACUAUAAAUAUAUAAAUAUAUAAAUACUCACUCGUCGUAUGCAGCCAGCAGCCUGAAGUUGGCAGUACAUCUACUGCAGGUGUAUGGGAUGUGGACAGAGGCUACUAUAAAUAUAUAAAUAUAUAAAUACUCACUCGUCGUAUGCAGCCAGCAGCCUGAAGUUGGCAGUACAUCUACUGCAGGUGUAUGGGAUGUGGACAGAGGCUACUAUAAAUAUAUAAAUAUAUAAAUACUCACUCGUCGUAUGCAGCCAGCAGCCUGAAGUUGGCAGUACAUCUACUGCAGGUGUAUGGGAUGUGGACAGAGGCUACUAUAAAUAUAUAAAUAUAUAAAU